rnacentral:misc_RNA from 1 species
UUACCUCCAUGAAGGACCACCCACAAGAUAAUUACUGCCGCUGCUAUAACAUUAUAGAUAAAAACUAUAGCAAAACUCCACAGAAAAGUGACCAUAAGCCUCUUCCAAACUCUUGGCACCACGCUCAUCACCUUCUUGAAGGUGAUUGGCUUUGAAGUAUAUAUGCAAGCAAUAGUAUAAACAACUGCAGAAGUAGAGAGAAGGGAAAGUAUCAGAAGGACAAUGAAGUAGGCGAUCUUGAAAAGCCAGAAGGCAAUCCACUCGGAGGAGAUUUUAUGGGAAUUUUUGUGAUAGAGUCCGUUGCCAUAUUCUAAGCUAUCUUCAAUCUUGAAGAAAAGGACCUGGGAGAUUUGGAUAUGAGCAAGGAAGAGGAAGGAGAGAGGAAGAAUAAAAGCAAGGGUGAUCUGGCCAAAAAUUUUUCUCCAAGAAACUAUAAUCUUGAAGGAUUCUUUCAAGAUUCCAAAGAACCCAAGAAACUGAAGCUCUUGUUGCUCUCCGUCCAUGGUGAACUCUCUGCACAAAGAGAAUGAGUGAUACAAGGAG